rnacentral:rRNA from 1 species
AAGAAAGUAAUAAAGGGCACACGGGGGAUGCCUAGGCUCCCAGAGGCGAAGAAGGACGUGAUAAGCUGCGAUAAGCUGUGGGUAUCGGCAAAUGCGAUUUGAUCCACAGAUUUCCGAAUGGGGCAACCCGGCAUGCUGAAGGCAUGUCAUCUUUAACAAGAAGCGAACGCGCCGAACUGAAACAUCUAAGUAGGCGUAGGAGGAGAAAAUAACAAUGAUUUCCCAAGUAGUGGCGAGCGAACGGGAAAGAGCCCAAACCGUUCAUGUUACGGCAUGUACGGGGUUGUAGGACUGUGACGUGGUUACAUAUAAGCGAAGUGGAACGGGAUGGGAAGCCCGGCGAAAGGAGUGAGAGCCUCGUACACGUAAGCGAUUAUGGCCUAACAGUAUCCUGAGUAGCGCGGGACCGGAGAAAUCCUGCGUGAAUCCGGCGGCACCAUCCGCCAAGGCUAAAUACUCCUGGGAGACCGAUAGUGGACCAGUACCGUGAGGGAAAGGUGAAAAGAACCCCGAACAGGGGAGUGAAAAGAACCUGAAACCGUGUGCUUACAAUCGGUCGGAGUCCCGAUUUAUCGGGAUGACGGCGUGCCUUUUGCAUAAUGAGCCUACGAGUUACACUUUACCGGCAAGGUUAAGCCCUUCAGGGGCGCAGCCGAAGCGAAAGCGAGUCUUAACAGGGCGCACAGUCGGUAGAGGUAGACGCGAAACCUGGUGAUCUACCCUUGGGCAGGUUGAAGGUUGGGUAACACCAACUGGAGGACCGAACCGAUAAACGUUGAAAAGUUUCCGGAUGACCUGAGGGUAGGGGUGAAAGGCCAAUCAAACCGGGAAAUAGCUCGUACUCCCCGAAAUGUUUUUAGGAACAGCGUGGGCAUAGAGUCUGACGGAGGUAGAGCUACCGAUUGGGUGCGGGGGAGUCAAAUCCUACCAAAUCCAGACGAACUCCGAAUGCCGUCAGAUAUGGCCUGCAGUGAGGCCUCGGGUGCUAAGGUCCGAGGCCGAGAGGGAAAGAACCCAGACCAUCAGCUAAGGUCCCCAAAUGUAUGCUAAGUUGGACUAACGAGGUCCGGUUGCCCAGACAGCUAGGAUGUUGGCUUGGAAGCAGCCAUCCAUUUAAAGAGUGCGUAACAGCUCACUAGUCGAGCGGCCGGGCGUGGAUAAUAAACGGGCAUCAAGCGUACUACCGAAGCUAUGGACCUGUACUGAAAGAGGUACAGUUGGUAGGGGAGCAUUCCAUCGGGGGCGAAGCAGGGAGGUGACUUCUUGUGGACCUUAUGGAAAAGCAAAUGUAGGCAUGAGUAACGAUAAGGCGGGUGCGAAACCCGCCCACCGAAAGACCAAGGUUUCCUGAUCAACGCUAAUCGGAUCAGGGUCAGUCGGGUCCUAAGGCGCACCCGAAGGGGGGCAGCCGAUGGGCAACGGGUUAAUAUUCCCGUACUUUUCGAUAUUGCGAUGUGGUGACGGAGUAGUGACACUGCCGCGGACUGACGGAAUAGUCCGUUGAAGGGAGUAGGUAUAGAUAUGGUAGGCAAAUCCGCCGUAUCUGCUGAAUCCCGAUAGUACUGCAAAGCUUCGGCGGCGCAGAUAGUGCAGGUAAUCAGACUUCCAAGAAAACCCGCUAAGCUCCAGAUAUCGAAAACCCGUACCGCAAACCGACACAGGUGGUCGAGGAGAGGAUCCUAAGGUGCUCGAGUGAACCAUGGCUAAGGAACUCGGCAAAAUGGCCCUGUAACUUCGGGAGAAGGGGCGCUUCCUUACAGCAAUGUAAGAAGCCGCAGUGAAAAGGCCCAGGCGACUGUUUAACAAAAACAUAUGGCUUUGCGAAAUCGCAAGAUGAGGUAUAAGGCCUGACACCUGCCCGGUGCCGGAAGGUUAAGAGGGGAUGUCAUCCGCAAGGAGAAGCAUUGAAUCGAAGCCCCGGUAAACGGCGGCCGUAACUAUAACGGUCCUAAGGUAGCGAAAUUCCUUGUCGGGUAAGUUCCGACCUGCACGAAUGGUGUAACGAUCUGGGCGCUGUCUCAGCCAUGGGCUCGGUGAAAUUGUGGUACCGGUGAAGACGCCGGUUACCCGCAACGGGACGGAAAGACCCCAUGAACCUUCACUAUAGCUUAACAUUGUGACUGGGUGCAGGAUGUGUAGGAUAGGCGGGAGUAGUCGAAGUAGCUUCGCCAGGAGUUAUGGAUACACCCUUGAAAUACCGCCCUUUCUGUAUCCGGUUUCUAAUCCCAUCAAGUGGGAGACAUUGUUUGGUGGGUAGUUUGACUGGGGUGGUCGCCUCCAAAAAGGUAACGGAGGCUUUCAAAGGUAAGCUCAGUACGCUUGGUAACCGUACGAGGAGUGCAAUGGCAUAAGCUUGCUUGACUGUGGGGCCUACAAGCCGAUCAGGGUCGAAAGACGGACAUAGUGAUCCGGUGGUUCUGUAUGGAAGGGCCAUCGCUCAAAGGAUAAAAGGUACUCUGGGGAUAACAGGCUGAUCUCCCCCAAGAGCUCAUAUCGACGGGGAGGUUUGGCACCUCGAUGUCGGCUCGUCACAUCCUGGGGCUGGAGAAGGUCCCAAGGGUUGGGCUGUUCGCCCAUUAAAGUGGCACGCGAGCUGGGUUCAGAACGUCGCGAGACAGUUCGGUCCCUAUCUGUUGUGGGCGUUGGAAGUCUGAGUGGGUCUGUCCUUAGUACGAGAGGACCGGGAUGGACGGACCGCUGGUGAACCAGUUAUGCCGCCAGGUGUACGGCUGGGUAGCUACGUCCGGUUAGGAUAAGCGCUGAAAGCAUCUAAGUGCGAAACCUGCCACGAGAUUAGACUUCCUUAAUAGGGCCGUAGGAGACUACUACGUCGAUAGGCCGCAGGUGUAAAGGUGGAGACACCAUAGCCGAGCGGUACUAAUAGCCCGAAGCUUUCCGCGCAG